UACAGAGGUCUCAAGCGUUGUUCGGAUUCAUUGGGCGUAAAGGGUGCGUAGGCGGCGCGGUUAGUCGGGUGUGAAAUCUCGGAGCUUAACUCCGAAACUGCAUUCGAUACUGCCGUGCUUGAGGACUGGAGAGGAGACUGGAAUUUACGGUGUAGCGGUGAAAUGCGUAGAUAUCGUAAGGAAGACCAGUGGCGAAGGCGGGUCUCUGGACAGUUCCUGACGCUGAGGCACGAAGGCCAGGGGAGCAAACGGGG
rnacentral:rRNA from 1 species